GUCUACGGCCAUGCUACCCUGAACAAACCCAAUCCCAUCUGAUCUUGGAAGCUAAGCAGGGUCAGGCCUGGUUAGUACUUGGAUGGGAGACCACCUAGGAAGACCAGGAGCUGUAGGUG
rnacentral:rRNA from 1 species